CCUGAGAUCUGCGCAUGCAGCGCAGUCUGACGCAGCGACGCCGCGUGAAUGAUGAUGCCUUCGGGUUGUAACCUCUUUUAUUUGGGACGAUGUGACUGUACCCUACCCUUACUCUUGCCUGUCUGUGCAGAAGCGGCGGUAACAUCGGCGGGGCGGAUCAAA
rnacentral:rRNA from 1 species